rnacentral:lncRNA from 1 species
UAAAAUACGUGUAAUGUACAUAACAUAAAUUUUUAACACACAAAUAUUACAAAAAAAUUAAAUUUAUAAUAAAAAUUACCUUUUUUUUCUUUUUUUUUUCCUUCCUUCCCUCUUCUUCUUCUUUCUUUUUUUUUUCUCCUCCUUUCCUUCUUUUUCUUUCUUUUUUCUUCUCCUUUCCUUUUCUUUCCUUAUUUUUCUUUCUUUCCUCUCCUCUCCUUUCCUUUUCUUUCUUUUCC